rnacentral:rRNA from 1 species
AGUCCUAUGUGUAGGCUUUUGUAAAUAUUUGUUGUAAAUAGCGUUUACGACAGAUUAUCGACUUUUGUCACGAUUUUCAACUUUUUAAUGUCUACUGCCAUCAUUAGGAUUUAUUUUUUUAAGCCUAUUUUAUGGAAGAAUGAGUUCAGGAAGCUUGGCGUAGUAGAGUCGUGUUGAAGCUACCCCCCUACUUCAACGUUGUGGCACACAUAUUGUACAUUUGCUACUAUUAUUAAUGAAAUCAUUGCCUUUCAUUGCCUCUUUGCUACAAUAGACUCGUAAUUCUUUUAUUUGUUGCAUUAAUGCUACUCUUGCAUGGCGGUGCCUCUAAAGCGUCCCAUUGAGGUGGGCGUGAUUGCGACACACCGUCGGUCGGAAGUGAGUUUUUAGCAGAGGUAGUAGUCCGAAGAUGUGUUGCCAGCCACAUGGUGCCUUGCUGUACAUAUUCCUAAAUCGGCGUCUCGUGAGACAUGGGGAAGUAGUGACAAUAAAUAACAAUACCGGGCUCUACGAGUCUGGUAAUUGGAAUGAGUACAAUCUAAAUCUCUUAACGAGGAUCCAUUAGAGGGUAAAUCUGGUGCCAGCAGCCGCGGUAAUUCCAGCUCCAAUAGCGUAUAUUUAAGUUGUUGCAAUUAAAAAGCUCGUAGUUGGACUUUGGGUUAGGCCGGCCGAUCCGCCUCUGGUGUGCAUCGAUCGUCUCGUCCCUUCUGUCGGCGAUGCACUUCUGGUCUUAACUAGUUGGGUCGUUCCUCCGAUGCUGUUACUUUGAAGAAAUUAGAGUGCUUAAAGCAAGCCUUUACUCUGUAUACAUUAGCAUAGGAUAACAUUAUAGGAUUUCGAUCCUAUUUCGUUGGCCUUUGGGAUCGGAGUAAUGAUUAACAGGGACAGUUAGGGGUAUUCGUAUUUCAUAGUCAGAGGUGAAAUUCUUGGAUUUAUGAAAGAUGAACGACUGUGAAAGCAUUUACCAAGGAUGUUUUCAUUAAUCAAGAAUGAAAGUUGGGGGCUCGAAGAUGAUCAGAUACCGUCCUAGUCUCAACCAUAAAUAAUGCUGACCGGGGAUUGGCGAAUGUUGCUUUUAGGACUUUGCCGGCACCUUAUGAGAAAUCAAAGUCUUUGGGUUCCAGGGGAAGUAUGGUCGCAAGGCUGAAACUUAAAGGAAUUGAUGGAAGGACACCACCAGAGGUGGAGCUUGCGGCUUAAUUUAACUCAACACGGGAAAACUUACCAGGUCCAGAUAUAGUAAGGAUUGACAGAUUGAGAGCUCUUUCUUAAUUCUAUGGGUGAUGGUGCAUGGCCGUUCUUAGUUGGUGGAGCGAUUUGUCUGGUUAAUUUCAUUAACGAAUGAGACCUCAGCCUACUAACUAGCUAUGCGGAGGUAUCCAUCCGCAACCAGCUUCUUAGAGGGACUUCGACCUUUUAGGCCACAGAAGUUUGAGGCAAUAACAAGUCUAUGAUGCCCUUAGAUGUUCUAGGCCGAACGCGCGCUAAGUCUAUGAUGCCCUUAGAUGUAUUCAACAAGUCUAUAGCUUUGGCCGACAUACCUGGGUAAUCUUUGAAAUUUUAUCGUGAUGGGGAUAGAUCAUUGCAAUUGUUGGUCUUCAACGAGGAAUUCCUAGUAAGUGCGAGUCAUCAGCUCGCGUUGACUACGUCUUUGCCCUUUGUACACACCACCCAUCGCUCCUACCAAUCGAAUGGUCCGGUGAAGUGUUUGGAUCGCGGCAAUGUGGGGGGUUUGCUGACCGCAACGUCGCGAGAAGUUCACUGAACCUUAUCGUAGGUGAACCUGCGAAAGGAUCACUG